GGGAGGAGGAAGGAGCCCCACAAAGAAAAAGAAAUGGAUGAGAAGGAAAGGGAGGAGAAACAAUGGGUUGUCGGUGAGAAGGGGUGGAUACGGAGGGGGCCAUUGUAGAGGGAUUGGGUCAUGGUAGGUUUGGAGGAAGAAGAGGAUGAGAAGAAGGAAGAGGAUGAGGAGCAAAAGUAGAUGAGAAGAAAAGAGAGGAGGAGAGAGGGGCAGUCGGCCACAAGAAAUGGGUUGGUGGAGGAAGACAAGGAGGAGAAGAGGAUGAAAGAAAAAAGAGAAGAAAGGUGGAGGGAGCCGCCAUGGAGAAGGAGAAAUAGAUGAGGAGGAAGGGGAGAAGAAGAAAGGGGAGGAGGAAGAAAGAGGGACACUGACGAUGGAAGAGAACAAUCAGAG
rnacentral:lncRNA from 1 species